GACGAACGCUGGCGGCGUGCUUAACACAUGCAAGUCGAACGGAAAGGCCCUGCUUUUGUGGGGUGCUCGAGUGGCGAACGGGUGAGUAACACGUGAGUAACCUGCCCUUGACUUUGGGAUAACUUCAGGAAACUGGGGCUAAUACCGGAUAGGAGCUCCUGCUGCAUGGUGGGGGUUGGAAAGUUUCGGCGGUUGGGGAUGGACUCGCGGCUUAUCAGCUUGUUGGUGGGGUAGUGGCUUACCAAGGCUUUGAUGGGUAGCCGGCCUGAGAGGGUGACCGGCCACAUUGGGACUGAGAUACGGCCCAGACUCCUACGGGAGGCAGCAGUGGGGAAAAUUGCACAAUGGGCGGAAGCCUGAUGCAGCAACGCCGCGUGCGGGAUGACGGCCUUCGGGUUGUAAACCGCUUUCGCCUGUGACGAAGCGUGAGUGACGGUAAUGGGUAAAGAAGCACCGGCUAACUACGUG
rnacentral:rRNA from 1 species